UUACCGAGUUUUCAACUCCCAAACCCCUGUGAACAUACCAUACUGUUGCCUCGGCGGUGCCUGUUCCGACAGCCCGCCAGAGGACCCCAAACCCAAAUUUCUUUGAGACGUAUUCUGAGUAACCGAUUAAAUAAAUCAAAACUUUCAACAACGGAUCUCUUGGUUCUGGCAUCGAUGAAGAACGCAGCGAAAUGCGAUAAGUAAUGUGAAUUGCAGAAUUCAGUGAAUCAUCGAAUCUUUGAACGCACAUUGCGCCCGCUAGUAUUCUGGCGGGCAUGCCUGUUCGAGCGUCAUUUCAACCCUCAAGCCCCCGGGCUUGGUGUUGGGGAUCGGCGAGCCUCUGCGCCCGCCGUCCCCUAAAUUUAGUGGCGGUCACGUUGUAACUUCCUCUGCGUAGUAGCACACUUAGCACUGGGAAUCAGCGAGGCCACGCCGUAAAACACCCAACUUUAGAAUGUUUGACCUCGAAUCAGGUAGGACUACCCGCUGAACUUAAGCAUAUCAAUAAGCGGAGGAAGU
rnacentral:rRNA from 1 species